CAAGUGAAGGCAUAAAGAGCCUGAUUUACUAACAUCCCAGACGACGAGCACUAAACUGCGUGGACAAUCCAAACUUUUGUGCGUUGGGGUGGAGACAGUUUU